CUUUUGCACUAAAAAGGACUUUUAAUUCAACAUCGAGGUCUCAAACUCAUCUGUCAAUUAGAGCUAUCUAAAUGAAUAAAGCUGUUAUCCCUAAAGUAACUUGUUCUUCUUUUAAAAUUUUUAGAUAUUAAGAUUUAAAAUCUUUCAAAAACAGAAAAAGGUUAAUUUUUUCCACCGCCCCAGUGAAAUAUUUAUUCUCUUUUCUUAAAGAAAAUCAAAUAUAAAGUUUUAUAGGGUCUUCUCGUCUUUAAGAAAUAUUUUAGCCUUUUUACUAAAAAGUCAACUUCAUAUUCUUUUCUUAAAAAAAUCUUUUCCAGUUUACCCUUUCAUUCCAG
rnacentral:rRNA from 1 species